GAGCAAAGACAUGUAAACCCACCUUUAAAAAAGGUAGGCCCCCCCCAACAGCCCAUUCUGUUUUCCUCCUAUCACAUUUAAGUCAUGUGUAUGAGAUCAUGAAGCAGGUGACAAUUUGGUAGUUUGUCAGUGUGUUUCUGAGAGUGAACGGUUCACAGCUGAUGAGUAUCCAACAGAACCAAUUACACAGGAGAUUGAGGAGUGACCGUUAUGGCUGUGACGGUGCAUGAUCUCAAGUUUUCAAUCAGAGACC
rnacentral:snoRNA from 1 species